GACGAACGCUGGCGGCGUGCUUAACACAUGCAAGUCGAACGGAAAGGCCCUGCUUUUGUGGGGUGCUCGAGUGGCGAACGGGUGAGUAACACGUGAGUAACCUGCCCUUGACUUUGGGAUAACUUCAGGAAACUGGGGCUAAUACCGGAUAGGAGCUCCUGCUGCAUGGUGGGGGUUGGAAAGUUUCGGCGGUUGGGGAUGGACUCGCGGCUUAUCAGCUUGUUGGUGGGGUAGUGGCUUACCAAGGCUUUGACGGGUAGCCGGCCUGAGAGGGUGACCGGCCAAAUUGGGGCGGGGAUACGGCCCAGACUCCUACGGGAGGCAGCAGUGGGGAAUAUUGCACAAGGGGCGGAAGCCUGAUGCAGCAACGCCGCGUGGGGGAUGACGGCCUUCGGGUUGUAAACCGCUUUCGCCUGUGACGAAGCGUGAGUGACGGGAAUGGUGAAAGAAGCACCGGCUAACUACGU
rnacentral:rRNA from 1 species